UUGCCGCUCAUCGCGACACGAAUGUCAUGAUCGCUCGGCGCUUGCAUCCGCAGCACCACAUCGCGAGCGGACACGAGCAUUCCCGGCGUGCAAUAGCCGCACUGCAGCGCAUGUUCUUGCGUGAACGCGGCGCGCAAUUCAGUCGCGAUCUCGUCGUUGUCGAGACCCUCGAUCGUGGUCACGUCGGCCUGCUGGCAGGCAACCGCAAAGG
rnacentral:misc_RNA from 1 species